rnacentral:misc_RNA from 1 species
CAACCAAACACUACCUGUGUAUCAUUGCAUUAAGAAGGAGAAACCAAACAAAAUAAUAGUUACAACACAUAAACACACACUCUUACAAACUCAUACCAGAAACAAACACGUCCUUCACAACAAACCACGACCUGACCUAACAAUCACCAUCAUCCUAUUAUCUAUUAGGCUGUCUCCAACAGAUCGUGCAUCUGGUCUUAAAACCCUUGGCCAUAAAGCAUCCCAUUGUCACCAUGUCCAAAUAAGUGCAAGUGAGUCUUCUGCUCCCAUUGGCUCGACACCCAGACUUGCAGUCACCGGCACCGUGGUUCCUUCAAACUACACCAAAGCUCACCUCUGAUGGGAAAAAUAAUCGUGUGUUGGGUGGGUG